CGGGACGUGGCGCAGCUUGGUAGCGCACCGCACUGGGGGUGCGGGGGUCGUCGGUUCGAAUCCGGCCGUCCCGA
rnacentral:tRNA from 2 species